UAAUACAUGCAAGUCGAGCGAACAGAUGAGGAGCUUGCUCCUCUGACGUUAGCGGCGGACGGGUGAGUAACACGUGGAUAACCUACCUAUAAGACUGGGAUAACUACGGGAAACCGGAGCUAAUACCGGAUAAUAUAUUGAACCGCAUGGUUCAAUAGUGAAAGACGGUUUUGCUGUCACUUAUAGAUGGAUCCGCGCCGCAUUAGCUAGUUGGUAAGGUAACGGCUUACCAAGGCAACGAUGCGUAGCCGACCUGAGAGGGUGAUCGGCCACACUGGAACUGAGACACGGUCCAGACUCCUACGGGAGGCAGCAGUAGGGAAUCUUCCGCAAUGGGCGAAAGCCUGACGGAGCAACGCCGCGUGAGUGAUGAAGGUCUUCGGAUCGUAAAACUCUGUUAUUAGGGAAGAACAAAUGUGUAAGUAACUAUGCACGUCUUGACGGUACCUAAUCAGAAAGCCACGGCUAACUACGUGCCAGCAGCCGCGGUAAUACGUAGGUGGCAAGCGUUAUCCGGAAUUAUUGGGCGUAAAGCGCGCGUAGGCGGUUUUUUAAGUCUGAUGUGAAAGCCCACGGCUCAACCGUGGAGGGUCAUUGGAAACUGGAAAACUUGAGUGCAGAAGAGGAAAGUGGAAUUCCAUGUGUAGCGGUGAAAUGCGCAGAGAUAUGGAGGAACACCAGUGGCGA
rnacentral:rRNA from 1 species